ACUCCUACGGGAGGCAGCAGUAGGGAAUCUUCCACAAUGGGCGCAAGCCUGAUGGAGCAACACCGCGUGAGUGAAGAAGGGUUUCGGCUCGUAAAGCUCUGUUGUUAAAGAAGAACACGUAUGAGAGUAACUGUUCAUACGUUGACGGUAUUUAACCAGAAAGUCACGGCUAACUACGUGCCAGCAGCCGCGGUAAUACGUAGGUGGCAAGCGUUAUCCGGAUUUAUUGGGCGUAAAGAGAGUGCAGGCGGUUUUCUAAGUCUGAUGUGAAAGCCUUCGGCUUAACCGGAGAAGUGCAUCGGAAACUGGAUAACUUGAGUGCAGAAGAGGGUAGUAGAACUCCAUGUGUAGCGGUGGAAUGCGUAGAUAUAUGGAAGAACACCAGUGGCGAAGGCGGCUACCUGGUCUGCAACUGACGCUGAGACUCGAAAGCAUGGGUAGCGAACAGGAUUAGAUACCCUGGUAGGAUAGCG
rnacentral:rRNA from 1 species